UUUCCGUAGGUGAACCUGCGGAAGGAUCAUUCAUAAUAAAGUGUUUUAUGGCACUUUUUAAAAAUCCAUAUCCACCUUGUGUGCAAUGUUAAAUCUCGUCAAUCUUGGCGAGAUUUUUAUACAUCAACUCAUUUUUUAGCUAAUUUGUCUGAAAAAUAUUAUGAAUACUUAAUUCAAAAUACAACUUUCAACAACGGAUCUCUUGGUUCUG
rnacentral:misc_RNA from 1 species